AAGAACAUCAGCACAAAAACCCUCCCCCACACAAGAAAACAAUUGCAAAGAACAAGUAACAACACAGAAUAUAAAACCCAUAAGACAGAUGAAAGUCCAUAGUCCGAAGUCCAAAUCUAUAAAGGCAGAACUUACAGUAACAUCUUUCAAUAUCAUCAACAGAGCGAGACACUCUCAAAUGAUUCCAAACGAAGGGUAAAUAAUUUGCAACCAAACUGAGAAACUCGUUCGGCCUCCCAGUGUGCAGCUGCUGGCCCCGUUCCUGGACGGGGCGGUCUGGUCAGCGAGGGCUACGCUCAUCUGCAAGGCGGUGGGGUUUUACCCCGAGAAGAUCUCCUUCCGGUGGAUGGUGGACAGAAGGUCCCACUCCCUGCCCACGGAGCAGGACGAGCUGGUCAGGAGCAGCGGCGGCACCUACAGCGCUACCAGUCGGAUACACAUCCCGUUCCUGGAGUGGGACCGGAUCAGGAGUGUCUACUGCUUGGUCACACACAUCUCCAAAGCCACACACUUCGUCCAGGAGUUCCGGAGAAGAGCCGUUCCAGCCCCACAGCCGCCGAUCACGUUCCUGCUACGGCCCCCUGAUACCCCCUCCGGGGACGGAGCCAGCGUCACGCUCACCUGUGGGGCCAGCGGAUUCUACCCAGCAUCUCUCUCCUUCGGCUGGGAGGUGGAGGGGAGGCAGGAGGACUCAGGGGUCUGGAACACAGAGCCGGUGAGAACCCCCAACGGCACCUACCUGGCCAUCAGCACUCUGAACACCCCUCGAUUCCUCUGGAGCUCGGGGGCUCGCUACACGUGUCUGAUCACCCACCAGGAGCUGGAUCAGCCCAUCAGAAAGACCAUCAACCUCAACGAUUGUGAUCCGGUCGCAUGUGUCCCUUCUCCAACCUCGGACCAAUCCUUAACAACACCGUUAACAACAGUAUCCAUAGAGAUGGACUGGACAACAGUCGUUCCAGCCCCACAGCCGCCGAUCACGUUCUUGCUACGGCCCCCUGAUACGCCCUCCGGGGACGGAGCCAGCGUCACCCUCACCUGUGGGGCCAGCGGAUUCUACCCAGCAUCUCUUUCCUUCAGCUGGGAGGUGGAGGGGAGGCCGGUGGACUCAGGGGUCUGGAACACGAAGCCGGUGAGAACCCCCAACGGCACCUACCUGGCCAUUAGCACUCUGAACACCCCUCGAUUCCUCUGGAGCUCGGGGGCUCGCUACACGUGUCUGAUCACCCACCAGGAGCUGGAUCAGCCCAUCAGAAAGAACAUCAGCCUCAACGAUUGUGAUCCGGUCGCAUGUGUCCCUUCUCCAACCUCGGACCAAUCCUUAACAACACCGUUAACAACAGUAUCCAUAGAGAUGGACUGGACAACAGUCGUUCCAGCCCCACAGCCGCCGAUCACGUUCCUGCUACGGCCCCCUGAUACCCCCUCUGGGGACGGAGCCAGCGUCACCCUCACCUGUGGGGCCAGCGGAUUCUACCCAGCAUCUCUUUCCUUCAGCUGGGAGGUGGAGGGGAGGCCGGUGGACUCAGGGGUCUGGAACACGGAGCCGGUGAGAACCCCCAACGGCACCUACCUGGCCAUCAGCACUCUGAACACCCCUCGAUUCCUCUGGAGCUCGGGGGCUCGCUACACGUGUCUGAUCACCCACCAGGAGCUGGAUCAGCCCAUCAGAAAGAACAUCAGCCUCAACGAUUGUGAUCCGGUCGCAUGUGUCCCUUCUCCAACCUCGGACCAAUCCUUAACAACACCGUUAACAACAGUAUCCAUAGAGAUGGACUGGACAACAGUCGUUCCAGCCCCACAGCCGCCGAUCACGUUCCUGCUACGGCCCCCUGAUACCCCCUCCGGGGACGGAGCCAGCAUCACCCUCACCUGUGGGGCCAGCGGAUUCUACCCAGCAUCUCUUUCCUUCAGCUGGGAGGUGGAGGGGAGGCCGGUGGACUCAGGGGUCUGGAACACGGAGCCGGUGAGAACCCCCAACGGCACCUACCUGGCCAUCAGCACUCUGAACACCCCUCGAUUCCUCUGGAGCUCGGGGGCUCGCUACACGUGUCUGAUCACCCACCAGGAGCUGGAUCAGCCCAUCAGAAAGAACAUCAGCCUCAACGAUCGCUGCCAACCGACCUGGUAUCCCAGGGAGAUCAGCUGGCUGUGGUUAGCAGCUGCCAUGGCCGCGCUGGUGAUCUACACUGGCAUCGUGCUGUGCAUUUUCCAUGGCAUCUGGACCUGUCGGCAGAGGAGGAGAGGAUCCAUUCCAGAAUCUCUCUGGGUAAACCUGGACAUCCCAAUGGAGAAGAUCCCAGAAGACGUUGGGAAAGGGAUGGAGGAAUUCGGGGACGAGGAGAGAUACUCGGAAAUGUUGACACCAGGGAAUUUGAAGCUUGAUACAAGCUCCACGACAACUCCAUUGAUGUAGACGGGGACCCUGUGAACGAGCAGAGGUGGCGGAGAGAGAGAGAGAGAGGGAUUUCAGCCAACAGCGCGAGACCGGAGAACGUUCUCGACCCUGGGCCCCGCAGCAGCUCCUGAAACUCAAACCUGAACUUCCCUGCAGCCGCCGGGUCAGUGGAAUCCAGAGAGGGACGAGGUGCGGCGGUGUCUGGAAUGCUCAGCUCUACGCGUACACCUUCCCCACCCCCCAUGCGUCUGCCGUGCCUUCCUGUACCCCCGUCUGCACUCUCCACACCAGGUAGAACACAGCCAGCUGUCCGUUGGCAGUCCUGUGGUGUGGGGGAAUGAAGAACAGACAGCAGCCUUCACGGAAACAGGCCCUUCGGCCCAGAGUGCCUGUGCUAACCAAAAUACUAAAUAAAACUAAAUGCCUUCUUCCUGGACAUGUCUAACAGCUUCUUAAACACCUCUAUCAUAUCUACAUCCUCCAUUACCCUUGGCAGAAUAUUCCAGGCGCCCACCACUCUGUGUUAAAAAAGAAGCCCCACUCAUCUCCCUUUCAUCUUAAAUGUGUACCCUGUGGUAUUAGACAUUACCACCCUGGGGGAUAAAGAUACUGGCUGUCUGCACCAUCUCAGAUUCAGAUUCAGAUUAUUGUCAUUUACAAACCACAAAUGCACUGCGGUUAAAAAAUGAGACAACGUUCCUCCAGAAUGAUAUCACAAAACACGU